GACGAACGCUGGCGGCGUGCUUAACACAUGCAAGUCGAGCGAUGAAGUUCCUUCGGGAAUGGAUUAGCGGCGGACGGGUGAGUAACACGUGGGUAACCUGCCUCAUAGAGGGGAAUAGCCUUCCGGAAGGAAGAUUAAUACCGCAUAAGAUUGUAGUUUCGCAUGAAACAGCAAUUAAAGGAGCAAUCCGCUAUGAGAUGGACCCGCGUCGCAUUAGCUGGUUGGUGAGGUAACGGCUCACCAAGGCGACGAUGCGUAGCCGACCUGAGAGGGUGAUCGGCCACAUUGGGACUGAGACACGGCCCAGACUCCUACGGGAGGCAGCAGUGGGGAAUAUUGCACAAUGGGGGAAACCCUGAUGCAGCAACGCCGCGUGAGUGAUGACGGUCUUCGGAUUGUAAAACUCUGUCUUCAGGGACGAUAAUGACGGUACCUGAGGAGGAAGCCACGACUAACUACGUGCCAGCAGCCGCCGUAA
rnacentral:rRNA from 1 species